GCCGCGGUGACGGAACCGGUAUACGUGUAGGUCUCAAAAACCUAUGAGAGCAAUCUCAUGUGGGUUCGACCCCCACCCGCGGCA
rfam:Candidatus Nealsonbacteria bacterium RBG_13_37_56 RBG_13_scaffold_1573, whole genome shotgun sequence.